rnacentral:rRNA from 1 species
UACGGAGGGGGCUAGCGUUGUUCGGAAUUACUGGGCGUAAAGCGCACGUAGGCGGCUUUGCAAGUUAGAGGUGAAAGCCCGGGGCUCAACCCCGGAAUUGCCUUUAAAACUGCAUCGCUAGAAUUGUGGAGAGGUAAGUGGAAUUCCAUGUGGAGCGGUAAAAUGUGACGAUAUAUGGAGGAACAUCAAUAACGGCGAAAGCAGUUAACUAUUCUGUUACUGACAUUGAGGCACGAAAGCGUGGGGAGCAAAACGG